UACGAAGGGGGCUAGCGUUGCUCGGAAUUACUGGGCGUAAAGGGUGCGCAGGCGGCUCCGCAUGUCGGGCGUGAAAUCCCCGGGCUUAACCUGGGAAUUGCGUCCGAAACUAUGGAGCUGGAGUGUGGCAGAGGGAGGUGGAAUUCCACGUGUAGCGGUGAAAUGCGUAGAGAUGUGGAGGAACACCGAUGGCGAAGGCAGCCUCCUGGGCCAACACUGACGCUCAUGCACGAAAGCGUGGGGAGCAAACAGG
rnacentral:rRNA from 1 species